rnacentral:rRNA from 1 species
AGUGAACGCUGGCGGUAGGCCUAACACAUGCAAGUCGAACGGCAGCACAGUAAGAGCUUGCUCUUACGGGUGGCGAGUGGCGGACGGGUGAGGAAUACAUCGGAAUCUACUUUUUCGUGGGGGAUAACGUAGGUAAACUUACGCUAAUACCGCAUACGACCUACGGGUGAAAGCAGGGGAUCUUCGGACCUUGCGCGAUUGAAUGAGCCGAUGUCGGAUUAGCUAGUUGGCGGGGUAAAGGCCCACCAAGGCGACGAUCCGUAGCUGGUGUGAGAGGAUGAUCAGCCGCACUGGAACUGAGACACGGUCCAGACUACUACGGGAGGCAGCAGUGGGGAAUAUUGGGCAGUGGGGGGAAGCAUGGUCCAGCGAUACCGCGUGGGUGAAGAAGGCCUUCGGGUUGUGAAGCCCUUUUGUGGGGAAAGAAAAGCAGCAGGUUAAUACCCCGCUGUUCUGACGGUACCCAAAGAAUAAGCACCGGCUAACUUCGUG